ensembl:lncRNA
UUUUCUACUGAGAAUAAAGGUAGGUGCUGCCCUGAUUUGGGGAAAGCUGGGCCCUGGAAGUAGGGAUGUGAUCUAGCCAAGUCUCAGACAGAGAGAAGCAGCUCUUUGGCUAGGACAGAAGCCCCAUCUCUUGACAUUUGACCUUCAGAUUCCUACAGUUUAAAAAUUAAUCACCAGAAAAUGAAUACUUCCCAUUUUCCCUCAGCUAGACCAAAGUCCUAAGUGCUGGCUCUAACUAAGCCAGGGGUUGUCUGUCAAAAUAAAUUGCAGGGGUGGGAGUCGGGCUGGUAGGGACCAGGCCAAUCAGCCCCAAGCUAGCAGCCUCCAGGGUUUGCUCUGGGCUCCUGGCUGGUUAGACCAGCCCUGCCAGGGCUCCUUGGAGAGCAGGGUGGAGAUGCAGGGCUUGGGAGAGGAGCAGCGAGGCCCGGGAGGGUGGGGCUGAGCAGGUCUCUGCAGCAGGCGGGAGAGGAGGAAAUGGGGUGGAGGAAUUGUGUUCAGGUGUGCACCGCCACCGAAGGCCAGGCUUCAGAAGGGGUUGAGGCUGCCUGCCCAGCCAGGGAGGAGAAGGAAGCUCUCGGUGGCUGUGAUGCCUGUUUGAGGAUACUUGAGGUGUCUCAGCCCAGUCUCCCUCCCCAGAAGAGGAAACCAAGAAGGGCCCAAGGCAUGCCAGCUCCCAGAGAGGAGAUGUUUUUCUCCAGCAGCCUAUGAAUCUUUCCAUCAACUAGGAUGAAAACAACUUCCACACAGACACCAGGGAGUUUCUCUUGUUCCCCCAGAAGAGCUUUCAGUGUCACACUGAUGGACUUCCUGAGCAGAGAACGAAGACAUGGCGUGUUUUCUGUCUCUUAUUAAUUCAGGCUGGAUUCCCUCUCAGAUGGAUUUUUAUCACUUUCCUUUCCACCAACAACCGGGAUUUUAUUUUCAUGAUUCCUGUAAAUUAGGAUCAAUACGCUUAAUCCGAGAUACAGCUAAGGUGACCAUCAGCUUCAGUCUCCUCUGAUUGCCUGAAAAGUCAUUUCUGGGUCCAUCUGGGAUUAUCAGGCAGUCCUCCAAUGAAUCUAGAGAGAAGACAAUCGCUAAGGAGUGUUUUCUCUAAUUUCCUGCCUAUUCAGACUCCGUGUUUCCCAUCUGGGCCAUCCAUAGUGCUAUCUUCCUUGUUAGAAUCACAGUGUACCCCUUGAAUCAACUCUCCUUAUUAAAACAGGAGAGCUAAGAAAAAUUAGAGCUUUGCAAAUUCUCCCUCUUAGUCCCUCUGUUUUCUCUAUUAACUUAUUCAUUCACUUAUGUAUUCAUUUAUUCAACAAAUACUGAUUAAUCACCUCCCUUUUUAUAUACUCUGCCUAUUCCCAAAAGGAUCAGAGGUGGCUUUUAGGAUCAAACACAAUGCAAACCAGGUAAGCCAGGAUGAAAAUAGAAAGGAAGUAGGAGAGGGUAUACCUGUGGCGGAUUCAUUUCAAUGUUUGGCAAAACUAAUACAGUAUUGUAAAGUUAAAAAAUAAAAUUAAAUUAAAAAAAAAAAGAAAGAAAGGAAGUAGGAGGGCUUGGCACCAGCUCCUAAGGUGGUUGGAAUUUAGUCCUUGCUCUAUUCCAACAAAAAAGAGAUCUGUUGGAUUUCCAUGUUUUUGCUUUCUGCCCAACCAAAACAUGCCAACUGGGUGUGGAGGACACCUUUUUCCUGCAACUGAAUGCAUUUAUUGAGCUUCCAGUGGAAUGUUUUGUUCCUCUAUGCAAAUGCAUUCAGGUAAAAGAAAGAAUCAUUAGUUCCCAAAUUUUAGUUAUUUGCAUACUAUCUUUCAAAUAUUUGUCUAGCUUCAUGACUAUUACUUAUUUCAUAGUUUCUUUUUUUUAAUUGACUUAAAUUUAUUUUUAAAACACUUAAAAUUUUUAAAAGGGAAUAUUUAUGUCAAAUACCAUAGUUAGA